rnacentral:rRNA from 1 species
GACGAACGCUGGCGGCAAGCUUAACACAUGCAAGUCGAGCGCCCCGCAAGGGGAGCGGCAGACGGGUGAGUAACGCGUGGGAACGUGCCUUUCGGUUCGGAACAACUGAGGGAAACUUCAGCUAAAACCGGAUACGCCCUUCGGGGGAAAGUUUACGCCGAAAGAUCGGCCCGCGUUAGAUUAGCUAGUUGGUGGGGUAAUGGCCUACCAAGGCGACGAUCUAUAGCUGUUCUGAGAGGAAGAUCAGCCACACUGGGACUGAGACACGGCCCAGACUCCUACGGGAGGCAGCAGUGGGGAAUAUUGGACAAUGGGCGCAAGCCUUAUCCAGCUAUGCCGCGUGGAUGGAGAAGGCCUUCGGGUUGUAAAGUCCUUUCGUUGGUGACGUGAAUGACGGUAACCAAAGAAGAAGCCCCGGCUAAUUUCGUGCCAACCGCCGCCGUAACAC